rnacentral:rRNA from 1 species
GACGUAGGGCGCGAGCGUUGUCCGGAAUUAUUGGGCGUAAAGAGCUCGUAGGCGGCUUGUCGCGUCGACUGUGAAAACCCGCGGCUCAACCGUGUGGCUUGCAGUUGAUACGGGCAGGCUAGAGUUCGGUAGGGGAGAUUGGAAUUCCUGGUGUAGCGGUGGAAUGCGCAGAUAUCAGGAGGAACACCGAUGGCGAAGGCAGAUCUCUGGGCCGUAACUGACGCUGAGGAGCGAAAGCGUGGGGAGCGAACAGG